UACGUAGGGUGCGAGCGUUGUCCGGAAUUAUUGGGCGUAAAGAGCUCGUAGGCGGUCUGUCGCGUCUGCUGUGAAAACCCGAGGCUCAACCUCGGGCCUGCAGUGGGUACGGGCAGGCUAGAGUGCGGUAGGGGAGAAUGGAACUCCUGGUGUAGCGGUGGAAUGCGCAGAUAUCGGGAAGAACACCCGUGGCGAAGGCGGCACUCUGGGACGGUACUGACGCUGAGGAGCGAAAGCGUGGGGAGCGAACAGG
rnacentral:rRNA from 1 species